UAUUAAAAACAUGGCUUUUUGAUUAUAAUUUAAGGUCGAACCUGCUCAAUGACAAUUGUGUUAAAUAGCUGCAGUAUAACUGACUGUGCAAAGGUAGCAUAAUCACUAGUUUUUUAAUUGAAAGCUUGAAUGAAGGGUUUGAUGAGAGAGUUACUGUUUCUGUAUAAUUUUUAGAAUUUUAUUUUUAAGUAAAAAAGCUUAAAUAUUUAUUGAAGACGAGAAGACCCUAUAGAAUUUUAUAAUUGAUCUUAUUAGUAAAUUUUUAGAAUUUUAGUUUAUUAAUAAGUUUACUUAUUUAAUUGGGGUGAUUGAAAAAUUUAAAGAACUUUUUUUAUAUUAAAACAUUUAUUUAUGAGUUUUUGAUCCUUGUAAUAAAGAAAUAAGAAAAAAUUACCUUAGGGAUAACAGCGUAAUAUUUUUUAGAGUUCUUAUCGAAAAAAAAGAUUGCGACCUCGAUGUUGGAUUAAAAUAAAUUAUUUGGUGGAGAAGCUAAAUAAUUAGGUCUGUUCGACCUUUGAAAUUUUACAUGAUCUGAGUUUAAACCGGUGUAAGCCAGGUCGGUU
rnacentral:rRNA from 1 species